rnacentral:misc_RNA from 1 species
AGUUCAGACGAGUGCUCUUCCAGUGAUCGCGGCCCUGACGAAAGGAAGUCCGUAACGUGCGUCGAUCUAGCGUCGACAGCGAGCCGCGCGGCCUGAAGCCGGGAAAAAUACCGGUUGACGUUAGAAGCGAUUAAUUAUUUUUCGCCGCGAGACCCAACGCUAAUUAUUAUCUUCACGGUACUAUUAAUCGUGGAGCGAGUUUUGUUGGAUCAGAGUUAUUUACGCAGCGCCGCGUCACACGGAAGGAACGGUAACAGUGCAGGUGGAGAUAUUUGGCAGGGGAGGGGGACGAUAUCGAGGAAGGGUGUGUGCCACUCAGGAUCGAGGAAAAACCGGAACGCCGGACGGCCAGCCGUCCAGUCCGGUAAAUCUACACACAGGCUAGUCACAAUCCUCAACCAAAAUGGGAUUGACCGUCACUGAGGACACGCCGGCGGACAUGUUGGCUGGGAAUAUGGAACUCCUGGUUCAGCUACCGCCCCGAAACGACGACGACUAUGAGAACGACGAGACUUACGAGGGGGAUGAGGACGAGCACCGUCAUCAGCACGGUCGGAAUCAUCACCGUUACCACAAUCAUCACAUCACAAAUGGUCAUCAUCCCCGUCGCACUGGAAACGGAAAUGCGCGAAGAGUAACCGUGGCCAGAAGCACACCGAUGAUGGAUCUCCUCGUCCAAGUUGCAACGUCCCAGAAAUUAUCAGCGUCCAGCUACACCCUCGAGGCUAUUGGAGAACACGGCUUGGUUCUUACCCAUCAUCCUAAUACACCGAUCGGCGCGCUGGACGCGUUGCAGGUGAAGCUGCUACCCAAACAAGGCACGUUCGCGCCGACGAAGACGAGGCACGCAAACCAACCGUUCGAACCGACGUUUCGGUUACAGGUCCAUUUACCCAGGAAUCAGCUCUACGUUUCCAGGGUAAGCUCGAGGAUGAACCUGGGAAAAAUUCUCGACGAAGUUUGCCGCGAGAAAAACCUCGAUAGGAAUAACUACGAGCUUCGACAUCCCGCAAACAUCGAGGAGACGCUUGACCUGUCGCUGUCCCUGCAGGACUACCAUCUCCAGGAGGUGACACUGUGCCCGAAACGUCGUCCGUUGGGAUCGUCGCUUAGCUCGCAGGACAUAAUGGCGCUUCAGCGUCAGGAGGAGAGGCGACGUCAGGAGGCGAAGCAGAGCGUGUUCGGUUUUGCGUUUAAAAAAUCAAAGGAGAGCUCCCUCAGUACCGACAGUCUUGGCGAACGGAGCGUAUCUCCGGCUCGCAGCGACGGUACCGGAAGGAGCGUAAGUCCUCAGGCUCCGACGGCGCCUACAAGACCUCAGAGGAAACGACGACCGGCUCCGAAGCCGCCGCUUCCUCGCGCCGAGGUCGAGACCAGUCCGAGUACCAAGGGUGCCAAGAAUCCGGAAAAGGAUAAAGAGGGGGAAAGGGAGAAGGAGAGGGAAAAGGCCGAGAGGACGAUCAUCAGCCAUAGUCGCAACAGCAGCGACAGCUCAGGAUACCACGAGGCAUCCGUACUCAGUGACAACCUCGACUCGAAUAUCAGGGUACCCGAAACACUGCCGAGGAGAAGCAGACUUCAGACACCCUCCUCGGUUGAGCCUACGGGAAGAACACUCGCCGAGACUUCCCAGGCCAGCAAGAGUCUCGGGAAUUUAGCUGCCGCUUCUAACCAGAGAACUUCCACCAUUGCUCGCGUCACCAGCAACUCUUCCCUCAGUUCAGCAGGUUUGAGAAAGAAAAAAGCUGCCCCGGCACCGCCGCCGCCGAGGCCUUUGACCUCGUCAACUUCGAUACAGGCUCUCGAGCGCAUCGUGGAUUCCGAAGAGUCCUUCACCUCUGUAGCUGAGACGUCGUUGCCGACUAAAGCGUCCUCGGAUGUUGCCGUUGGUACUACCAAAUCAAGACUGCAGGCCCAACCUCGGGUCAGUUUAGGGUCUGAAAAUCGGGCCUCGAUCACACCAAAGAUCGACGAAGCGCGAGUCGAAGAUAAGCCUACUGCGAUCAACGUCGACUCGGCUCGGUUUUACGAGUCACCGAUACUGUCGGAAAAAUCGGCGCCUAGCGUCAACCCGAGUCCCAAGAUCGUCGAGGUCGCAGCAAUCAUUCCUAACGUAGAAAUCGCUAGUGAACGCAAACGAGUCGCCCCGGUCCCGAAGCCCCGUGGAUUGGUUCACGGGUUGGAAAACGCUGCUAACACUUCCGCCCCUCCCAAAAAUUCACCGCCGUAUCUACCCUCGCCCACGCCAAGAGACCAAACCACGCAAAAAGCGGAUGCGGCUGUGCAGAUUGCACCAAACACAAGCCCCGCAACAACGACGACAGAUUUGCUCAAAAAAGUUUCGGAUACGCUUUCCAGUUCUCUGAUGCGAUCACAGGCGACUGUGGCUGCAGUUUCAUCCUUGGCCAAAGAUUUGGAACCACCAGUAGAGUCGAAAAAGGCGGAUAAACCGAUGGCGAGAGACGAAGAAUCGGCUUCCAGACCGGAUGUCGGUGAAGACGCACCGGACUUUAUCGACGCUCAUCAGCCCGCUUUACCCGACUGGGAAUACCAGCUUCCGGAGCCUCCAAGCGGCUUCAGGGACACCGAGGUUCCUACGGCAAAGGAAGGUGGAAAAAUUGCGAUUACCGAGCCAGUGCCGGUUCGCGAAUUAGAAAAAUUGAUAGCGGAUGAAGAACUGAAGGACAGAACAGCGGUCGAAGCGAAGCGGAGAGAGGUCAGCGCCCCGGUAUCGCCGACUACGAAAGUACCGCCGAUCAACGACGACGACGGCCAUCAUCAGAGCAAACGGAGCAGAAGGAAGUCCGGGAGUGAGAACAGCUCCAGAAGGACUUCCCACGUCUCGUCGACGCCAGGUGUUGCACCGGUGGACAAUACCUUGUCGAAUUUCGUGAUAACGACCUACUCGCGGCCGAAGAACGUCGACAUCUUCGACGAGAUCGAGCGGGCCGAUCGCGAUCCGGAACUGCCGCUGAGUCGCAAAAGCUCGAGCGCCAGUCAAACUCGCAGAGAAUCAUCCAGGAGCUCGACUUCCUCGCUACCCCAAAGCGAGGAAAGGCAGCUCGGAAGCGUCGACGAAACGCCGCAGAGACCGGAAGUCGCUCCGCCGGUCCGCGGGGACGACGGUUCGCCCCAUAUGGUCAGCAGGGCGAAUAUCAAGAUAUCCAUCGUCGCGAAACCCAGGUCUCGGGGAAACUCCGUGAGCGGAAAUCAGGCUCUCAAAGCCGCCGUUCGCGAUGCUUCUGACGACGGACGCGGUGUGAGCGAUGUUACGGUGCUCGAUGAAAAAACGGCUAAUAACGAGAAAUUCUCUCAGUGGAGGGAGAAUAUUUUAAAGAAACAGGAAACACCGAGCAGGGAACGGCAAUUGCAAUCUUUACAGGUUCUAAGAGGCAUUUCGUUACAGAUUGAAGACUCUCAACCACAGCCGGACGACACAAGCACGGCCGAAAAAGCCGCUCCCACUUCUGCCGUUGAAACGAGAGUCGAAACCGUCAAAUCCCCGAAUAAUGGAGAAACAGCCGCAGAGCCGAGUCUUCAAACAACACCUCCUGCACCCGUUGCAGCGCCGAUUGAACCACAUGUAAAGCGUUACACCUACGCAGGACCACCGGCUAUAGACCUUGGCAGCUGGUCCGACAGAUCCAGGACCAAAGUUCAAAUAAAACCGGAUACAGACUACAAGUUCGAAAAGAGUCCAAUUCCGGGAACGGCGUGGAUCCAACAGGAUGCUCCAAAGACUCUGAAUUAUAAGGAGGGCAACGCUGUUAGUAGAACCGUCCUAAACGCGGUAUCUCAGACAGCGGUAACGCCGAGUGUUGUAAAAAAUACGCUGACGAAAUCAUCGAGGUCCGAGAAGGAAUCUACGGUCGAUAAUCACGAUAGAAAAGAGCCAAACGAGCUGGCAAGAACGCUUAUCACUCGGACUACGGCCUCCGGUUUCAAGAGGCCGGCUUCUAUAGCUGUGUUCGAAUCCUCGGUAACGAUUUCGGGAGAAAAGGAGACUCAAAAAAGGCCGGAGGUCGUUAAUGGAACCGGAAACCAAGAGGAGUCGAACAAGGCCUCCGCCGCAACCGAGAGCGAGGUCGACACGAGACCGCUGAGCUUUAAGGAACUGAAACAGGCGUUCGCCAGGGAGCAAAACGGAAGUGUGCAACCGGUGCCGAAAUUUGGAAGCCUCGGUCGAAGAGUCGAGAAUUCCAUUAGCGGGACGCUCGUACGGAGGGAUAACGAAUCGGAGAAUCAAACCUCCUUCCGAAACGAGGUGAACGGUCAGAGGGGGGAGAACAAGACCGUGGCCUCCGAGAAGAAGAACUUCGUUACGCCCGCGAAUCGCGGAACUGCCGUCUUUCAACACGACGUUUUGGGCACUGCACGCCGAACCAGCCGGGGGACUUUAAUGCCCGUUGUCAAGGGAUUCAAGGUCGUUCCUUCCGAGGAAGAGCCGGUAACUUUGUCGCAAGACAAACCACACAUCCGCAGAGUCGCGAUAGGCGACAUUUCGAACGGGAAUUAUGUAGCUGCCCACAAUGGUCUGAGAAAAACCAUCGUCCAGAUCAAGGGAGACAAUCAAAUCAGCAACUCUAACAACAUUCCAAAACCGCCGCCAACUAUGCCCGUCAUAACGGGCGUCACCCUAAAAAGCACCAACGCCAAUGCAAGACCAAAGUCUAUGAUUGUUGCAGCCGACCCGAGGAAUGAUCUUUUGGAGUCUAUUCGGGGAUUUGGUGGAUCUGGACAGCUGCGACAUGUUUCACGAAGGAAUACCAACAUUGGUGGUGGCUCAAGUUCGCGAUUUGUACAUAGCUAAGCGAACGCCAGCGAGUCAUUCUGCAACGCUACAAUGCUCACAAUUAUCAGCCAGGUUAUGGCGUUAAUUGCGAAGUCAAUCAAUCGGACGAUGUAAGGUGAAGCGGUACAUGGAAAGGAAUGAAUAUGGUCAUUUAAUACAACGCAAAAACUAAUCUAUUAUAGCUAUACUAAACUCGAAAUAUAUGGAU